GAGGAAUAAGCAUCGGCUAACUCCCGUGCCAGCAGCCGCGGUAAUACGGGGGAUGCAAGCGUUAUCCGGAAUCAUUGGGCGUAAAGCGCCUGUAGGUUGUUUAAUAAGUCUGUUGUUAAAGACUAGGGCUUAACCCUAGAAAAGCAAUGGAAACUACUAGACUAGAGUAUGGCAGGGGUAGAGGGAAUUUCUAGUGUAGCGGUGAAAUGCGUAGAUAUUAGAAAGAACACCGGUGGCGAAAGCGCUCUACUGGACCGUUACUGACACUCAGAGGCGAAAGCUAGGGUAGCAAAAGGGAUUAGAUACCCCUGUAGUCCUAGCCGUAAACGAUGGAUACUACAUGUUGUGCAUUAUGUACAGUAUGGUAGCUAACGCGUUAAGUAUCCCGCCUGGGGAGUACGCUCGCAAGGGUGAAACUCAAAGGAAUUGACGGGGGCCCGCACAAGCGGUGGAGCAUGUGGUUUAAUUCGAUGCAACGCGAAGAACCUUACCAGGACUUGACAUACUACAAAUUCUUUUGAGAAAAAGAAGUGCCUUCGGGAAUGUAGAUACAGGUGGUGCAUGGCUGUCGUCAGCUCGUGUCGUGAGAUGUUGGGUUAAGUCCCGCAACGAGCGCAACCCUUAUUUUUAGUUACCAAUUCGUUGGGUUCUCUAGAAAGACUGCCGGUGACAAACCGGAGGAAGGUGAGGAUGACGUCAAGUCAGCAUGCCCCUUAUGUCCUGGGCUACACACGUGCUACAAUGGUUAAGACAAAGAGUCGCGAGCUCGUGAGAGUCAGCUAAUCUCAUAAACUUAGCCCAAGUUCAGAUUGUAGGCUGCAACUCGCCUACAUGA
rnacentral:rRNA from 1 species